UGCAAGGUCAACUGGCCAGCGGUCUGCGCCCCGACGAAGCAAGGUGGCCUGGGCAUCCCCGACCUACAACGUUUUGGCAGGGCGCUGCGGCUGCGCUGGCUCUGGGCUGCUUGGCACCACCCGGAGCGGCCUUGGGUGGGCACCGAGCUGCCCUGCGACGGCGCGGACAAGGCGCUCUUCGCGGCUUCCACCAGAGUUGCAAUCGGCGACGGGGCCCGGGCAUCUUUCUGGCUCUCUCCAUGGAUCGGCCAGGGUUGCCUGUCGCAACAGUUUCCAACGCUGUUUAGCUACUCGAGGCGCAAGAACAGAUCGGUGCGGGAGGCCCUCGGCCACGACACGUGGAUCCGUGACCUCGCUCACGACAACAACCAUCACCUCCUGCUAGACGUCCUCGCCCUUCAUCGUCUGCUUCAUGGGACGGACGCGCAGCUGCAGCCAGGCAUGCCGGAUGAUCUGACAUGGAGUAGAGCGAGCUCAGGAAAGUACACGGCGUGGUCGGCCUACCUGGCGCAGUUCCAGGGGAGAACGGCGACCCAUUUCGACCGGCUGGUUUGGAAGGCCUGGGCGCUGGGCAAAAUCAAAAAUUUUGCCUGA
rnacentral:rRNA from 1 species